AGAGUUUGAUCAUGGCUCAGAACGAACGCUGGCGGCGUGCUUAACGCAUGCAAGUCGAGUGCGCGUGCCGUAGCAAUACGGUAUGGCGCACGGCGCACGGGUGCGUAACACGUGGGUACCUGCCCUUUGGUGGGGAAUAACUCCGCGAAAGCGGAGCUAAUUCCGCAUAAGAUCCGCAAGGAUGAAAGCCGCAAGGCGCCGAUGGAGGGGCCCGCGCCCGAUUAGCUAGUUGGUAGGGUAACGGCCUACCAAGGCUUUGAUCGGUAGCUGGUCUGAGAGGAUGGCCAGCCACACUGGAACUGAGACACGGUCCAGACUCCUACGGGAGGCAGCAGUGGGGAAUCUUGCACAAUGGGCGAAAGCCUGAUGCAGCGACGCCGCGUGGGGGAUGAAGCAUCUCGGUGUGUAAACCCCUUUCGAUCCGGACGAAACCCCGCAAGGGAUUGACGGUACGGAUAUAAGAAGCCCCGGCUAACUACGUGCCAGCAGCCGCGGUAAGACGUAGGGGGCCAGCGUUGUUCGGAAUUACUGGGUGUAAAGGGUUCGUAGGCGGUGUAGCAAGUCGGGAGUGAAAUCUCUGGGCUUAACCCAGAGGCUGCUUCCGAAACUGCUGUGCUUGAGUGUGGGAGAGGCGCGUGGAAUUGCAGGUGUAGCGGUGAAAUGCGUAGAUAUCUGCAGGAACACCCGUGGCGAAAGCGGCGCGCUGGACCACUACUGACGCUGAGGAACGAAAGCUAGGGGAGCAAACAGGAUUAGAUACCCUGGUAGUCCUAGCCCUAAACGAUCAGGACUUGGGGUGCCACCCGUUCGGGUGUCGUCCCGGAGCUAACGCGUUAAGUCCUGCACCUGGGGAGUACGGUCGCAAGACUGAAACUCAAAGGAAUUGACGGGGCCCGCACAAGUGGUGGAACAUGUGGUUCAAUUCGACGCUACGCGAGGAACCUUACCUGGGCUCGAAAUGCUGUG
rnacentral:rRNA from 1 species